UACGGAGGGUGCAAGCGUUAUCCGGAUUCACUGGGCUUAAAGGGUGCGUAGGUGGGAAUGUAAGUCAGUGGUGAAAUCUCCGUGCUUAACAUGGAAACUGCCAUUGAUACUAUGUUUCUUGAAUCUUCCGGAGGUCAGCGGAAUAUGUCAUGUAGCGGUGAAAUGCUUAGAUAUGACAUAGAACACCAAUUGCGAAGGCAGCUGACUACAGGGGCAUUGACACUGAGGCACGAAAGCGUGGGGAUCAAACAGG
rnacentral:rRNA from 1 species